rnacentral:ncRNA from 1 species
GUUUAAACUUUUCACUAUUUUAUGUUACUGUGGAUAUCAAAUAUGAUGUUUUCAGCUCUACAUCUCCUUAACAUCACUUUCUGCCUGAGUCUUCCCCUGAUAAUCAUAAAACAUGAUCUGCUGGCUCAUUUAGACAAACACUGAGAUUCAUGAGGUAUCCGGCCGCUUUGGUGAGUCUAGAUAACCUCGAGCCGAUUGUUGGCCCUCCAUGGUGGCGACAUCUCAUUUGAAUGUCUGCCCUAUCAGCUUUGGAUGGUAAUCUACAUAUAUACUAUGAUGACCACGGUAACAGGAAAUUGGGAUUCGAUUCCAGAGAGGGAGCUUGAGAAACAGCUACCACAUCAAAGGAAGGCAGCAGGCGC